rnacentral:rRNA from 1 species
GAUGAACGCUGGCGGCGUGCCUAAUACAUGCAAGUCGAGCGAACAGACGAGGAGCUUGCUCCUCUGACGUUAGCGGCGGACGGGUGAGUAACACGUGGAUAACCUACCUAUAAGACUGGGAUAACUUCGGGAAACCGGAGCUAAUACCGGAUAAUAUAUUGAACCGCAUGGUUCAAUAGUGAAAGACGGUUUUGCUGUCACUUAUAGAUGGAUCCGCGCCGCAUUAGCUAGUUGGUAAGGUAACGGCUUACCAAGGCGACGAUGCGUAGCCGACCUGAGAGGGUGAUCGGCCACACUGGAACUGGGACACGUUCCAGACACCAACGGGAGACAGCAGUAGGGAAUCUGCCGCAAUGGACGAAAGCCUAACGGAACAACGCCGCGUGAGUGAUGAAGGUCUUCGGAUCGUAAAACUCUGUUAUUAGGGAAGAACAAAUGUGUAAGUAGCUAUGCACGUCUUGACGGUACCUAAUCAGAAAGCCACGGCUAACUACGUG